rnacentral:rRNA from 1 species
AGAGUUUGAUCCUGGCUCAGGAUGAACGCUAGCGAUAGGCCUAACACAUGCAAGUCGAGGGGCAGCACAUGAAGUAGCAAUACAGAUGGUGGCGACCGGCGCACGGGUGAGUAACACAUAUGCAACCUACCUUCCACAGGAGAAUAACCCGUUGAAAAACGGACUAAUACUCCAUAAUACAGGGGUCCCGCAUGGGAAUAUUUGUUAAAGAUUUUUUUCGGUAGAAGAUGGGCAUGCGUUCCAUUAGCUAGUUGGUUGAGGUAACGGCUCACCAAGGCAACGAUGGAUAGGGGAACUGAGAGGUUUAUCCCCCACACUGGUACUGAGACACGGACCAGACUCCUACGGGAGGCAGCAGUGAGGAAUAUUGGUCAAUGGAGGCAACUCUGAACCAGCCACGUCGCGUGAAGGAUGACGGCCCUACGGGUUGUAAACUUCUUUUAUACAGGAAUAAAGUGAGUCACGUGUGACUUUUUGCAUGUACCGUAUGAAUAAGGAUCGGCUAACUCCGUGCCAGCAGCCGCGGUAAUACGGAGGAUCCAAGCGUUAUCCGGAUUUAUUGGGUUUAAAGGGUGCGCAGGCGGAAGAUUAAGUCGGCGGUGAAAUUCUGCAGCUCGACUGUAAAAGUGCCAUCGAUACUGGUUUUCUUGAGUGUGGAUGAAGUAGGCGGAAUUUGUGGUGUAGCGGUGAAAUGCAUAGAUAUCACGAGGAACUCCGAUUGCGCAGGCAGCUUACUAGGCCAUAACUGACGCUCAGGCACGAAGGCGUGGGGAUCAAACAGGAUUAGAUACCCUGGUAGUCCACGCAGUAAACGAUGAUUACUAGCUGUUUGCGAUACACAGUAAGCGGCUUAGCGAAAGCGUUAAUUAAUCCACCUGGGGAGUACGUUCCCAAGAUUGAAACUCAAAAGAAUUGAACGGGGGCCCGCACAAGCGGAAGAAAAUGUGGUUUAAUUCCAUGAAUACCCAAGAAACCUUACCCGGGUUUGAAAUGCAUUUGAAAAGGAACAAAAACGUUCUUUUCCCUUCGGG